GUUCCGGUUACUCAUCAAGUAUAGAUGGAGUCGAAGAUGGCCAUCCUCUCUCAUCCGUCAGGACCCGACUCGUCACAGCGGUGGCUCCCCAGAACCAUCCAGAACCUCAGAUACAACAAGCAGUGUCACACAAUUCAAACAAGGAACCCCCACCCUCCCCCUCCCCUCCCUUUGCUGUUAUGUGUUCUAUCAUUCAUACGUGCUUUGAUGUGCACGCUGACAGGAGGCAGAUUGAAGCAAAGCUCUGGAGAGAUGCUGCACGGCUCACAGAGAGGAAGACAGCCCCUGUUGCUUGCUUGGUUUGCUGCUGUUUCUGCCUUUGACGCGGUGAUGGGGAUUUUCCUCUUUCUCUCCCUCUCCCUAGGCUGCUUCCUGCCUGCUGUGGAGUUAUACUGACACCUUCUGGCCAAAGAACAGGAAGGAACUGCAGCAUACAGGUACAGGGAGAUGUGGUCUGAGGCGUCCAUACAGAACUCACCACCGUCUCUGAUGUGAUUGUAGUCUACACCCAGAAGACAUUUUCACUGGGCUCACUUCAUUUUCUAAUGUGUGAAUCUGUUUUUCCACGUCCCCAGAAUUUUUAACCCUCUUGUCUUCAUAUUGUUUCCUUGUCUGCAAAAACAUAAAAUAAAAUUGCCCAAAUUUCAGAAAAUUUGCAAAACCUUCAGGAAGAAAAUUCUAAUAAUUCCUUCAAUGUUUGCCUUAAAUGUUUAAUUUAUAAAAAAUCCCCAAAAUUUGGGACAAGAUUCUUGUAAAUAUUUUCAAAAAAUGAGCAAAAAUCCUCCAAAAAAUCCUAAAAAUAUCUAAAGUGAUUACACAUGUAUCAGUAAAACUUCUAAUAUUUUCUUUAAGAACAUUCACAAAAAAAAAGCAACCAAAAUCCAGUGAAAUUCGCUGGAUUUUGGUUGAUUUUUUUGUGAAUGUUCUUAACAUUUCUUUUUUUUUUUUCCACCAAAAAAUGUUCAAAACGUGGACAUCAGAAGUUUCACUUUGAAAAUAUCUGUUUUUUCCACAUUUUCAAACUUCAAAAUGGGUCAAUUUGACCCGCAGGACGACACGAGGGUUAAAGAAGUCGGACGUCGGUUAUUUCUACACAAAGCUCCCUCUGACUAGAAUAGCUUCAGGUCAUCUUCACUUUACAGGAUAUGUGCAAUAACAGCAGAGAGAUAUUUGCAAUAUAAUCAUGUGUAAAUGUUAAUUAAUUACUCCUUGGUAGCUGCCUUGGUCCCCCAGUUUUUGUCUGUUAUGUGCGCUACGUGUUAUCGAUUGUUGUUUUUCUUUUUUGUAUGUCUUUGUUCAGUUAUAGUUUUUAUAUCAAGAUUAAUUUCUUUACCUCUGAUCGGCCAAUCGGACUCGAGAUGGAAAUUAGCUGCACGGCUACAAUCUCUCAUACUUACAUGGAAAUGUACAUUCAUAUGAACUGUCCCAUUUUUAAAAAGAAACUAAUUUUGCAUAUUUAGUUCAUUGGUGCUUCGAAUUACUGCAAAAUCAAACCGCUUAAGAUGCUGAAGCUUUCAUGAGUCGUGUUUGCUUUUCUUUUCUGGUCCAGCUUCAUUUCUGACUCCUCAUCAAACAGAAAACACUCACAAGUUAAAAUGUGGAGAAAACUUUUGCAAACUUAAAACGGUGCCAGAUGAUGAAUGACUAAUUACAUUCCAGCCUUACAACUUGUGUGUGCUACAAGUUAAAACUAAAUAAGCUUUAAAUAUAUUGUGUAUUUAGAUACAGUGGGUGUGGGAUUUACAGACAUACUGUUUCUGGCUGAGUGCAAACAUUGUAAGGAGUUAUCAGCUUCUUUACUAAGCGUUAGAUGAUCAUCAUUUCUCCACUUUUGCCUCUGUACAUUAAAUAUUAUGAGAUGCUACAUGUCAAAGGGCUUUUCUUUCAGUAAACUCAAUGUGAGAUUUAGAAAUGCAUUCCCUUUAAUAAACUUAAUGCAGUGUG